rnacentral:rRNA from 1 species
AGCAGCCGCGGUAAUUCCAGCUCCAAUAGCGUAUAUUAAAGUUGUUGCAGUUAAAAAGCUCGUAGUUGAAUUUCGGGGUUAGUAGGUUGGUCAUGCCUCUGGUAUGCACUGGCCUCACUGAUUCCUCCUUCCUGAUGAGCCGUAAUGCCAUUAAUUUGGUGUUGCGGGGAAUUUGGACUGUUACUUUGAAAAAAUUAGAGCGUUUAAAGCAGGCUCACGCUUGAAUACAUUAGCAUGGAAUAAUGAAAUAGGACGUUUGAUUCUAUUUUGUUGGUUUCUAGGAUCGACGUAAUGAUUAAUAGGGAUAGUUGGUGGCAUUAGUAUUCAAUUGUCAGAGGUGAAAUUCUUGGAUUUAUUGAAGACUAACUACUGCGAAAGCAUUUUGCCAAAGGAUGUUUUUCAUUAACCAAGAACAAAAGUUAGGGGAUCGAAGACGAUCAGAUACCGUCGUAGUCUUAACCAUAAACUAUGCCGACUAGGGAUCGGAUGAUGUUAAUUUUUUAAUGACUCACUCGGCGCC